rnacentral:ncRNA from 1 species
CUCCGAAGUUUCCCUCAGGAUAGCUGGAGCUCGUACCCGACUUCAAUCAGGUAAAGCCAAUGAUUAGAGGCCUUGGGGGCGCAAUGCCCUCUACCUAUUCUCAAACUUUAAAUAGGUAGGAUGGCGCGGCUGCUUUGUUGAGCCGCG